CUGCCUUGGAGUGGGGAAUAACGGCUGGAAACAGCCGCUAAUACCGCAUGAUGCAUCUGAGUCGCAUGGUUUGGAUGCCAAAGAUUUAUCGCUCUGAGAUGAGCUCGCGUCUGAUUAGCUAGUUGGCGGGGUAACGGCCCACCAAGGCGACGAUCAGUAGCCGGACUGAGAGGUUGGCCGGCCACAUUGGGACUGAGACACGGCCCAGACUCCUACGGGAGGCAGCAG
rnacentral:rRNA from 1 species